UGGUGAUUUAACAUUUAAUAUUUUGGAUUCUUGCAUAAUAAUACUCCAUCAUUGCAUAUAUACUCGAAUUCAAGAUUGGCAUCAACGAAAUGGACUUAAUUGAUUCCUUUCUCUCUAGCGACAGAGUAGAAUUUCAUCUAUAGAAAGAAGAUUUGGGUGGUUUAAAUGUAUAAUAUAGUUUGAAUAUCAUUAGAGAGAAAUGUAAAAGAUGAUAUUAUUCAAUUUCGUUUGUUACCAAAAUGAAUUAUUUACAAUUAUAUAAAGUAAAGUACUAAACUGGGUUAAACCAUGAUUAAAUUACAUGUACAGUAAACCAAUCUAAACCAGUUAAUAUUCUUUCUUAAGAUGGAGGUGUGUAGAUGUCCAAAACACUCAUCUUAGAAACGAGAUCCGGAAAUGGUGGAGGAUACAAUGCCUUCGUCAGAACAUAUGCAAUAUGCUUAUGCGUACGUACAUGCAUUGUCUUGAUCAAGCUAUUGACAAUGCGAUCACGGAUGGUGUAACAAUCAUGAUCAACAUGUUUAGUCCUCUCGUGAUAUACAGAGUUGUUUGCUAUGUGGAGAGAGGCUGUGUUGUCACCAUAUAAGUGUGUAGGCAACAAAACAUGCACUUGAAGAUCAGUCAUAAUGCGAAGAAGACACUCGAUCUCACAGGAUGCAUCAGCCAAAGCUCUGAACUCUGCUUCCGCUGGGAUUCUGGAUAUGGUAUGUUGCUUCUUUGAAUGCUAAGUUACCAAAGACUCACCAAGGAACAUAGCAUAACCAGUGAUGGAUUUGCGAGAGUCGGGACAAGAUCCCCAAUCCGCAUCAGCAAAACCACGCAAAUCAAAUGAUCCAGACGCAGCAUAGAACAGACCUUGUCCCACCGUACCUUUAAGAUAACGAAAUAGCUAGUGAGCAGCCUUCAAAUGAGCAUCUCUAGGUGCAGCAGAGUAUUGACAGAGCUUCGUGAGAGUAUAAGCUAUGUUUGAUCGAGUGAUGGCAAGAUACAUCAUUCUUCUAUAAAAUUUAGGCUCAGAUAACAAAGCUCCCAUCUCAUGAACGAUCUUAGACCCAUCUUUUGGUAUGAUAGUUUCCGUUGAAAGUCGAACUGUGGGGUCAAGAGGGAUAGCUGAUGGUUUACACCCGAGGAAACAUGUAUCAUCGAGCAACUCAAGAAUAUAUUUCCUUUGACAAAUUGAAAUGCCUUUUGCAGAACGAGCAAUCUCAAAGCCAAGGAAAUAUUUUGCAUCUCCAAGAUUUCGGAGUUUGAAAUGUGAUUCCAACUCACGAAUAAACUCCUUGAGAGCUUCAUCCUUGUUGCUCACAACCAAGAUAUCAUCAACAUACACUAAGACUGCCAAGGAUCUUCCAUCAACAUUCUUCACAAACAAAGUGUGAUCAUCCCGAGAUUUCAUGAAACCCAUCUUCAUUAUAGUAGAUGAUAACGUCAAGUACCACUGCCUAGAUGCUUGUUUGAGUCCAUAAGGGAAUUUGUGUAGUCUACAAACAUCAUUAGGAAGGACUGAAACGCCUAUUAACUCUUCAUAACCAGGGAAAGCUUCAUAUAAAUCUCCUCCUCGAGAUCACCAUUCAAGAAUAUAUAGAGAUGUCCAACUGAGUGAGAGACCAAUUCAUCUUAGCUGCGACAUCAAUGAGAACCCUUACGGUGCUAAGCUUAGCAACAAGGGAAAAUGUAUCUUGAUAAUCAACACCUUCUUCUUGCGUGUAACCCUUACCAACCAGACGAUCCGUCUUUCUCUCUUCAAUACCAUCUGCAUGGUAUUUGGUCUUGUAAAGCCAUUUACGACCAAUAGGCUUCUUAUCAGGAGGCAAUGUAUAGAUGCUCUAAGUCUUAGUCCUUUCUUGAGAAUAAAUCUCUUCCUUCAUAGCAUCUCACCACAACUGAUCCAGCAUUGCUUCUAAAUAGUUUUGAGGAUCUUUAGAUUUUUUGAUAGAUUUUAUAAAAGAAUAAAAGGGCUCGGAUAAGGCAGAGUAUGAAAUGUAAUUUGCUAUCGGGUAAGGAGUAGAAGAAGGAGAAGAAAUAUUGUAAUAAUGAUAGUCCUGCAAAUGAAAAGGUUGUUUCUUGUUUCGAAUCGAACGACUUCCAGAGGAAAGAACGUCAGAAGAUGACACAUCAUUAUGAGGAUGUGCAUCGGAAGAUGCUGGUUUAGAGAACUCAGCAUCAGGGACAGCAGGUGAGGAAGCGUGAGGAAAUAAAGAUUUGACAUUAUCAUUUAGAGAUGGUAACGCAAAAUAGAAGAUAUCCUCAUGAAAAAGAGCACAUGACGAGAAUAAAAAAAACAGAAUGUGUCUCUAUGUCUAAUAGCUUGUAACCCUUGUACCAUGAAGGAUAUCAUAGGAAGACAGAAGCUUUAGUUAUAGGAUCAAAUUUAUGUAUAUUCUUAUUUGAAGUACUAGCAUAACACAAAAAAAACCAAAGGUUUUUAAAUUUUCAUAAUCGGAUUGUUUAUCAGUUAGCUUUUCAAAAGGAGAUUUGUGUUCUAAAACAGGGAAAGGUAAACGAUUUAUAAGAAAGACUGCAGUCAAAACAUAAUCACCCCAAAAUUAUAAAGGUACAUUAGACUGAAACAAUAAUGCUCUAGCAACAUUCAAUAUAUGUUGAUGCUUUCUUUCCACUACAUAAUUUUGUUCAGGUGUUUCAAGACACAAAUGGUAUGAGAUGAUUCCUCUAGCAACCAAAAGAUCAGUGAAUUUCAAUUCGUUUGCAUUGUCUGAUCUAACAGCCUUAACAUUCACAUUAUAUUGAUUUGCUACCAUCUUAACAAAGUCAGGGAAUAUUUGUAGAACAUCAGACUUAGCACACAUCAAGAAAACCCAAGUGGCUCUGCUAAAAUCAUCAACAAUAUUUAAGAAAUACUUUGAAUUAUCAACAGUUGGUUCAGCAAAAAGACCCCAAGUACCAAUAUGUAAAAAAUCAAAAGCAUUCUUGCUAAUAUUUAGAUUUGAAUGGUAAAUGUUUCUAUUUUGAUAAGUGACAGACAUGGCACAAAUCAGAAUGAUCUUUAUUAAGUUAUGAAUUUGAAAGAUGAAGAACAUUCGAUAAGGUAUCAAUUUUAGAUUUGGAGGGAUGACCUAAUCGUUUAUGCCAAAUAAGAGAAUCCACAACAACAAAUACAGACGGCAUACCUUGAAAAGAUAAAUAUCUAUGUUUAUUCUCAGCAUCCAAGACAUAUAAGUUGCCAACUUGACUACUUUGACCAAUCAUCAAUUCAUGAGUAAGUUCCUGAAUAAAACAAUCAUUAGCAGUGAAAGAAACUUAAGAAUUCAAUGUUGUAGUUAAAACACUCACACUUAACAAAUUGAAUCUGAAAUCUGGGAUGAAAAGCACGUUAAAAAGAGUAAUAGAAUCAGUCAAAUGAAUGCAUCCUUCCCCAGCUAUAGUAACAAUAUAACCAUUAGGAAGAGUGACAUAGGUUUUGUCUAAGGGUUUGUAAUCAGUAAACAAGUUCCUAUAAUGACUAACAUGAUGAGUGGCUCCUGAGUCUAUAAUUCAAGUUCUAAGAGACACAUCUGUUUCUUUUGAAGUGGAAUAUAUAAGCAUGUGAUUAUAGGAAUGGUUGUAAAGAGAAAUGAAGUUACCGGAAAGGCGUCCUGUAAUCUGUGAAAUUACAGGGGCAUUAGUUGAAGUCGAAGCAGUAGCUUUCUCAGUUGUGGAUGUGACACUAGGAGAGUGGAGUUGAGAACUCAAGUAAGAAAUCAUAGAAUGGAGUUGGUCUUUGGAGAUUUGUUCACAAGAGACUUCUUCAUUCGUAUUGACCGACCGUGUAAACGCCAUGUUUGUUGAGGCCAUAACAGAAGGUUUCUUUCCUUUGAACAUUCCAGGAGGAUAUCCAUGCUUCUUGUAACAUCCAUGCUUCUUGUAACACUUGUCAACUCUAUGACCAAGUCUUAAGCAGAAAGAGCACUUCACUUUGUGAUAAGGUCCUUGAGAAAUGAGAACUUGGUUAUUCUCAGGAUUGAGUGACUUUUGAACUUGGAAAGCAACAAGAUGAUUGGUCAUUCGUUGAGCAGAUCCUACAAUUCAUUGACUUUCAUCCUGAUCAAGCAUGUUAUAUAUUUCAGUAAGGCUCAGACGAGGCUUGACGUUCAGAAUUUGCCCUCGAAUGUUGGCAAAAUUCUCGUUGAGUCCCAUGAGAAACUGAAUGAUACGACUAGUCUCUGCUUCCUCCAUUAACUCCUUAACAUGAUCACAAUUGCAUCUUCUUGCUUUGGUGAUCUUUGUGUUAGACAGUUGCUCCCAAGGAGUCUUCUUCCUAGGCCCAUGGAUCCCUGCUUAAAAGUCGCAAUAGCCUGCUCUAACUGAUACUUCCUUGGGAGAUUACUCACUCGAAACCUUGAGUACAAAUCAUUCCACAUCUCAACAGCAUCAUCAUAAUACAUGAUGUUAUCAUACAUCUCAUGAUUCACUGUAUUAAGUAACCACGACUUAACCAUGUUGUUGCAUCUACUUCAGAUCUUGAACAACGGAUCAUUUUCAGCUGGUCUAACUAAUGAUCCAUCGAAUCCUAUCUUGUUCUUAGCAUCAAGACUCAUCCUCAUCGCGAUAUACCAGUUGUUAUAAUUCAAUCCAUCUAACUUCUGAUUCGAGAUGCACAAUCCAGGAUGAUGCAAGAAAUACGGACUAUGAGUGUUGUCGAUGGAGUUCAUACUAGAGCUAUUAAAUCCACGAGGUUGCACACGGAGAGUUCCAAUAUUCUGUGGCGGAUUGAUCUCGACGUCUAGAUCAUCGUCUUCUUUUGCGGAAAAAUGCGAUUGAUUCUGCAUUGCAGAUGUUUCUGUACCAGAAACGGUGUUUCGAGUCCUCAUCUUCCUUCCUUGCUUCGCCAUUGUAGAGAUCGAGAUCAAAAACUUUAGAAGAUCGAAAUCGGAUAUCAAAAAUCACCGAUAGCGAUAUUUUCCAAUUCGUAACUUCAAUCGAAGCUCAGAUUGAACUGGAUCUUUAGGAAAUAAGGUGAAGUUUGAAGAAUUUGUGAGAUAAUCGAAGAGAAAUCAGAGAAAACAAGCAGAAAAUGCUCUGAUACCAUAACAGAGUUUGAACAUCGACAGAGAGAAAUAUAAAAGAUGAUAUUAUUUAAUCUCGUUUGUUACCGAAAUGAGUCAUUUACAAAUAUAUAAAAUAAACUACUAAACCAGACUAAACCAUGAUUAAAUUACACGUACGGUAAACCAAUCUAAACUGGCUAAUAAGGUAGGUGAAAAAUAUAUGUUAUCAAUAAGGUGUCAACUAUUUAAAGACGUAUCACACCUCAUAUCAACCAGCCAUUAGCAGAAGAGAGUAGUAUUUCAACUACUCUCCGUUGAAUAUAUCGUGUGGUUUAAUGUUCACGAUCACUUUCACUCUAAAAUCUCUUUUACUGCAUUAAUCAUUUUGCCAUCAAUCCCAGUCUGACGUCUUGCAUUUUAGAUGAGAUCUUGUUCUUCUUAUUGGCCCACGAGAGUCGCCCCAUGUUCUCCGCAUCUUUCAACGAUAUAUUUUCCACAUAAAUGGCUUUAGAUCCAUCACAUGUAACUGUGUAAUGUCUGAAUUAGAUAUAAAUGGAAGUAAUAUAUAUUGUAAUAAAGUUUAGUCCAACAUGUGAACCAGUGGCUCCACUUCUUUUAGUUUCCCCUAAAUUAUAUUGUUCUUUCUUUCACAUCCAAUCCAAGUGAGUGUUAACCAGUCAUUGAACCGCUGCAAGAAAACUAAUUGAACAAGUUGUUUUCCAACCAAUUGUUAUAGAAAUGGCUAAUCGUUAGUUCGUUGACCAAUGAACAACUACUACGAUUCUAUCUAUUGUGUUGUGAUUAGUUUGUUUUUCAGAAUCACUUUGUUAAUUUUCUACGAUGUAGAUUUAUAAAAGAAUGGGAGAUAUUUUGUUUAGAGGAGGUUUGUAUAUUUCAUUCAAUUCCAUUCAUAAGAUUCACACUGAAAGUACACUUCAAUUUAUAUACUAUAUAUAUACAAUUGACAAAAUUUUAUUUUGAAAACAAACUUUCAUUGUAUGAAGGAAAAAAAACUAAAAAGAAAAUGGUAUAGACAAAUAUCAUUUCUUGUGUGAGUUAUUAUUUUCGCUUUGGGCGGAUAAUUUAUAUAUUAUGUGCGAGGUAUUAUUUUUCAUAAUUUCUAGUUUCUUUAUCAUUUUUUUAUGUUAAUCUUUUUUUUUUGAUAUUAGGAUAUUCAACUUCAGUUUCAUUAGGAUUAACUAAAUUUUGUAAUUCGAUUACUGAGAUAAUUAAUUUUAGCGGAUUAUGUUCUACUUUAUUUUGGUAGUAUGUAUUGUGUGUAAUGUUUAGACUCUGAAGAUAUUAUAUUUUUAAUUUUCAUCAGUAUUAGAACUUGAAGAUUUUCUUGGAACAUUACUUUUAUUUUCUUCAUUGGAUACGAUAAAUUUAAUAUCUUGUUUAUAUGAAAAAAAUUUCUUUGUUUAUUACUUUAUUUUUUAUAUCUUGUUAUAUUACGCUUUCCCAUUUUUUAAAAAAUAUUUUAUUGAUUAUGUAUAAUUAUUUGUUGUGUUUUUCAUCAAUGUCAUGUUAGUUCUCAUGAACUUAAGUUAAUGAUAAAAAAAAUGAGAGAUUCACUUUGCAAUAAAUAAUUGUUGACAUUGCUUACAUAUUUCAUAUCAAACAAUAUUAUUAACUGAUUUUUCUAAUUUGAAUUUUUAUAAAUUUUCUCUGUAUAUUUUGAAAAAUAAAAUUUUGUUAUAUUAUCUCUUUUGGUUAUUUUAUGUAAAUUACUAAUUUUUAAUAGUUUUGAAAAAUUUAUUUUGUUUAUGAUUUAUUUUCUUGUCGUGCUUUUAAAUCAAAAUUUUAAAUUCUCUAAAUCUGAAUUUGCUGACAAAGCUAUAUAAACUUCAACUAUAUUCACUAUUUUUUUUUUAAUUUUCUGACUUGAUUUUGAUGACACUGAAAGAUCAAAUAUCGUAAAUAGAUUUUCCUCAUUUCUUAUAUUUUUAUUUUUAUAAAUUUAUGUAUUAUCAGAUUAUAUUAUGUAAUUUCACUAAAUUAUUAUUUAUCCGCUAAUUUUAUUAUAUUAAAAUAUGUUUUGUGUUUUCACUAAUUAUUUUUUAAUAUUUUUACAUUUCAUUAUUUCCUAUUUUCCAAAUAGAAUUUAUUAAAAACUAUAAUGUAUCAAUUUUGGCUGUAGUUCUUUUUUGUCAUCAGUUUUUAAUUAUUAUUUAUAAAUUUAUAUUUGACCUUUUUGACGAAGAAAGUAUAAAUAAAAAUUUGAGAUUCAUUUUUUCGUUGGCCUGGGAUAAAAGGUGAGAAAAUUGAAAAUUAUUUUCUUUGUUUUGUAGAUUUUUCUAUUUAGUUUUGAAAUUUAUGUAUUUUGAAUUAUAUUAUAUGAUUUUUGUUAAAUUAUUGUUUGACAGACUAGUGUCAAAAUUUUAGUUUAACUGAAGUUAAACUAAUAACUUAUGGGUAAUUUAAUGUUAUUUUAAAAUAUCUAGUGCAAAAUAAAAAGGUGAAAAUGUGAAGUAUUAAAUAAAUAUUAUAAAACUAUGCUGAUAUAUCAUAUUUAACUUAUUUGGGGCUAUUGACAUGUGUCAAAAAAAAGAUAAAUAUCAACUUUAUUAGUAUAUAAAUAGUUUUGCACGGUGUAAUAUAAUUCAGAGGACAAACUUAAUAUAAAUAUUUGAAAGCCUUUAAGUAAAAAAAAGAAGUUAAUAUAUAAAUAUUAAAUAGUUGGUUUUAGUGGAAUUUAAUGAAUCAUCGAUUCCACUUAAUUUUUUCUCUACUAUGUCAACCAUUUGCACCCUUAAAUGUUUUUAACUGUAUAAGUUGGAUUAAAUCCCAAAUUUUAAAACCUAAAUCGUCGUAUGAAAGUCCACUAUUAAAAUUGAAUUUUAAUAGCCUGAGACAUGAAGAGGUGGAAAAUGCAAUGGUCUCUGUGUACUGUCUGGAUCUGGACAGGCGUGUGGAGGAGCGUCGGUGGAUCUGAACACUGAAGUCUUAAGAUCAACGUUCAAAUAAAAAUAAACAAAUUAAACUAUUAAUGUUUACAUACAAAAAGAGAAACUAUACGUAUGUUUUAAUUUCUAAAAGAUUUGAACUAUUUAAAGCAACCGACAGCGAGAAUCAUAUCAAUUAGGCGAUGGUGUGGGUUUUCUUUUCUUCAUAUUCAUAUUAGGCAGAUCUAAAACAAUUUUAUCCCCUUUGUUUAUAAAUAAAAAAGUAUGUUGAAUCCAUUUUAAAUAGAUCGUUAUCCCCGACAAAAGAAAAAUAGAUUGUUAAAUGGCAUUUAUAUAAAUUAUGUACUCAAACGCCAUGGUGUUAACAUUCGGGUCACAGAAAGCAACUUCGGUGUCGGUCCAGAAUAAUUAAACGCCUGGAGCAAAUUUUCAAAAGUACUACCUCUAAGAGGAUUUAACCCUGUUAUACUUCUAAGAGAUUCUAAAGGUAUCAAGCCACUACAUCAAAGAAACUAUUUUAUCACUGGCGCACCUAAAUUAUUUAUAAAUUUUGGCGUCUGAAUCCUUGUGUCACAGGUUUUAAUCUAGGAUCGGCCUUGAGCAAUCUGUACAUUAUAGUAUUUGUUGAAGGUGCAUUUUGCACUUUCAUUAAUAUUUGAUCUAAAUUAAAGUAUUCGAAUUCAAAUUAUACAUCACUAAAAAAAACAUAUAAGAAAAAUGAUAAUUCGAUGGCGAACUCGCACCCAUACCAAAAGGGAGGCAAUCUCAAACCGGUCAACAAACACAUACGAUGCAGUCUGGCCAUAUGCCUUACGACAAGGUGAGCUGCACUCGCCUCACAAUGAAUAUGUGACCUCAUCCAACAAAGGUCGAAUAUGUGACUUCAGCAACAAGGAUUAUGAAGUUUCUUUUGUCGCAUUUGGGGCAUUCCCCGACCAUAAAAGAAGGAAUCAGUCCUCAGAUCAAGGAACCAACUUUUCUCUCCAGAACUUCUAGAAAGAUAAACUUAGGGGAUGAUUGGUUGUGGCUGUAGAUGUUCUGGACAACCAAAAUUUAGUCUAGAGCUAUAUAUAUCAACCAAGCGAGCUUUUCUUUCCUUAAAAAACUCACAACAAAAAAAUCUCUGCAACAUCAAAAUAUGGCUGUAGAGAGCUUUAUUUUCACAGCAAAAAAAUUAUUGCUUUAGAAAGCUACAACAAAUAAAUCUACACAAUAAAUUCUACAGAAAAAAUAUAAAGCUACAGCCCUUACCAAUCAUCCCCUUAGCGACAUCAAUACUUAUUGUAUAACACGCUCGAUUCGAUAAUCUCACUCACCUCACUUUGUAACAUCUUUUUGAUUUCGAUUUACUUCAAAUAUAAAUGAGAAUUCGACCUGCUUUGUCCCUAAUCUACUUCUAAAUCACCUACUCGAGCCUCACACUCAAUAUUUGGCACAGUCUGUGGAGAUAAAUCAAAAAUCUCUCUACGCAGAAAGUAUUUCGAAGAUGUCUGAUCCUACAAGAUCAGCACUCCAAAGUGAAGGAACGUCAGCAACAUCGAAGCUGUCAAUAUCCAUUACUCGAAGUUCCUCUCUCCUGACAAACUCUAAGGCGCCAGUACCGUAUAAUCCAACGUUUGUGCAAGAGAUCUAAUCAACCCCAAUGAUUCGAAGUGGGAAAGAACCCACCCAAGUUGAGUCAAACAUUUCCGGAACAAAAGACUCAACCACUUAUGACCAGGCCCGACAUGCCAACGAGCACAUAAAAACAAAGGAGUGGCAAACACGAUGUCCCUGGUACAAACAAACCAACAACCCCACUACUCGAAUGAGUAGAUACACUAACACAAAUCACGGAUGCUCUAUUCGAAUGCAUAACAUAGCUGAGGCAAACCGUUAAUGAAACAAAGUCACAUCAAACAGAGGAAUGGGUGGCUUGUUGAUGCAACUACAACGCAAUCUCUUUGGGGUUUGUUCAUCUCCAAGGGAAAGCACACCAGCGCCUCAUUAUGCGACGCCAGCAACCGCCACAAAUGGAAUCAUAUGAACUCGACAUGACGUCACACAAAAUGCUGUACUUGACUUCAAAAUAGACGAGGUAAUUAAAGGAAUGAAACAAUAGAUUUAAGAGAUGAGUUUGAGAGUGAAGCAGGUGAUAAACUUGUCCCCCGAGAUUAAUCAGGUACUAAAAGAAAUGCAAAAGACACCAUCCACGAGCAGGAUCAGUAGGCACAAGGUCAACAAUCUUGGAAACAUACAAAUCCCGAUGCAUAAUGGGACGACCGAUCCAAAUGAACCCCACAUUAAGUUCAGCAUCACCAUGGCACAAACUCGAUCUAUCCUCGAAGAGUGCGACAUGGGCUAUUGCCAGUUUUUUGUCGAGCACCUCGAGAGAGCAGCGCUUUCGCUGAUUCUUGUGCGUAAAAGCAAACUCGAUAUGCUUCAAGAUGCUUCUUGUCAUCUCAAGUAAGGUUCUGUUACGCCUCUCUACAACUUCGUUCUGCUGAGGCGUGUAAGGAGCGGUUAGAUGACGUUGGAUUCUCGAUGCUUCAGAGAAUUUUUGAAAUUCCAUAGAAGUAAACUUGCCACCUCUGUCGGUUCUGAAAGUCUUAAUAGUUGUUUUUGCCUCUUGUUGGACUUUUGUCUUGAAACUUUUAAAUUUCUCAAACGCUUCUCCUUUCUUCUUUAAGAGAAUUGUUCACAUGUAACGAGAGUGAUCAUCUAUAAGAACAAAAAUGUAUCAAUUUCUAGCUGGAGUCGAUGGUGUGAUUGGUCCGCAGAGGUCUCCAUGUAUAAGUUCAAGCUUCUCUGUGGCUCUAUAAGAAGUUGCUUACGGAAACGACUGUCUUGUCUUUACCUAGAAGACAUGAUUCGCAAGUUUCCCCUUCAAUAUUGAUUUUAGGUAUUCUUAACACCAAUUCCUUAUGUACCAUUAGUUUCAUAGAAUCGACUUCGAUGUGCCUGAGCCGUGCAUGCUAACAUGCCGACUCGUCUUUAA